rnacentral:rRNA from 1 species
GAAUACCCGCUGAACUUAAGCAUAUCAAUAAGCCGGAGGAACCCCC